AUUGAACGCUGGCGGCAGGCCUAACACAUGCAAGUCGAACGGUAACAGGAAGCAGCUUGCUGCUUCGCUGACGAGUGGCGGACGGGUGAGUAAUGUCUGGGAAGCUGCCUGAUGGAGGGGGAUAACUACUGGAAACGGUAGCUAAUACCGCAUAAUGUCGCAAGACCAAAGAGGGGGACCUUCGGGCCUCUUGCCAUCGGAUGUGCCCAGAUGGGAUUAGCUUGUUGGUGGGGUAACGGCUCACCAAGGCGACGAUCCCUAGCUGGUCUGAGCGGAUGACCAGCCACACUGGAACUGAGACACGGUCCAGACUCCUACGGGAGGCAGCAGUGGGGAAUAUUGCACAAUGGGCGCAAGCCUGAUGCAGCCAUGCCGCGUGUAUGAAGAAGGCCUUCGGGUUGUAAAGUACUUUCAGCGGGGAGGAAGGGAGUAAAGUUAAUACCUUUGCUCAUUGACGUUACCCGCAGAAGAAGCACCGGCUAACUCCGUG
rnacentral:rRNA from 1 species